rnacentral:rRNA from 1 species
GUGGUAAUGCCGGAUGCUCCAGUUGAUCGCAUGGUCUUCUGGGAAAGCUUUCGCGGUAUGGGAUGGGGUCGCGUCCUAUCAGCUUGACGGCGGGGUAACGGCCCACCGUGGCUUCGACGGGUAGCCGGCCUGAGAGGGCGACCGGCCACAUUGGGACUGAGAUACGGCCCAGACUCCUACGGGAGGCAGCAGUGGGGAAUAUUGCACAAUGGGCGCAAGCCUGAUGCAGCGACGCCGCGUGAGGGAUGGAGGCCUUCGGGUUGUAAACCUCUUUUAUCGGGGAGCAAGCGAGAGUGAGUUUACCCGUUGAAUAAGCACCGGCUAACUACGUGCCAGCAGCCGCGGUAAUACGUAGGGUGCAAGCGUUAUCCGGAAUUAUUGGGCGUAAAGGGCUCGUAGGCGGUUCGUCGCGUCCGGUGUGAAAGUCCAUCGCUUAACGGUGGAUCCGCGCCGGGUACGGGCGGGCUUGAGUGCGGUAGGGGAGACUGGAAUUCCCGGUGUAACGGUGGAAUGUGUAGAUAUCGGGAAAGAACA